rnacentral:rRNA from 1 species
UACGUAGGGGGCAAGCGUUGUCCGGAAUCAUUGGGCGUAAAGAGCGUGUAGGCGGCCCGGUAAGUCCGCCGUGAAAGUCCAGGGCUCAACCCUGGAAUGCCGGUGGAUACUGUCGGGCUAGAGUCCGGAAGGGGCGAGUGGAAUUCCUGGUGUAGCGGUGAAAUGCGCAGAUAUCAGGAAGAACACCAACGGCGAAGGCAGCUCGCUAGGACGGUACUGACGCUGAGACGCGAAAGCGUGGGGAGCGAACAGG